rnacentral:rRNA from 1 species
UUCCGGUUGAUCCUGCCGGAGGCUACCGCUAUUGGAGUUCGAUUAAGCCAUGCGAGUCGCGAGAAAUUAGAUUCUCGGCGUACCGCUCAGUAACACGUGGGUAACCUGCCCUAUGCUGGAUAAUAACCUCGGGAAACUGAGAAUAAUGAUCCAUAGUUCACUACGCCUGGAACGGUGAGUGGAUGAAAGCUCCGGCGGCAUAGGAUGGGCCUGCGGCGUAUCAGGUUGUAGGGGGUGUAACGUACCCUCUAGCCCUCUACGCGUACGGGUGUUGGGAGACAUAGCCCGGAGAUGGAUUCUGAGACACGAAUCCAGACCCUACGGGGUGCAGCAGGCGCGAAAACUUGGCAAUGCGAGAAAUCGUGACCAGGGAACUCCAAGUGCAUGGGGUAAGACCCAUGCUUUUCUUGACUCUAAAUAGGUCUUGGAAUAAGGGGUGGGUAAGGACGGUGCCAGCCGCCGCGGUAAUACCGGCGCCUCAAGUGGUAGUCGCUUUUAUUGGGCCUAAAACGUCCGUAGCCGGUCUGAUACAUUCGUGGGUAAAUCAACCAGCUUAACUGGUUGAAUUCUGCGAGGACGGUCAGACUUGGGACCGGGAGAGGUGUGGGGUACGCUCAGGGUAGGGGUAAAAUCCUGUCAUCCUGAGCGGACCACCUGUUGCGAAGGCGCCACACUAGAACGGAUCCGACGGUCAGGGACGAAGCCUAGGGGCACGAACCGGAUUAGAUACCCGGGUAGUCCUAGGUGUAAACGCUGUGGACUUGAUGUUGGGGGUGCUCCGAGCACUCUCAGUGUCGAAGCGAAGGUGAUAAGUCCACUGCCUGGGAAGUACGGUCGCAAGGCUGAAACUUAAAGGAAUUGGCGGGGGAGCACCGCAACCUGAGGAUUGUGCGGUUUAAUUGGAUUCAACGCCG